GUUGGCCUAAAAAAACAAUUAUGAGAAUGACCUACACAAGUACACUUGAAUUUCUAGGAACCUUGUUUCUGUUGCAGCAUAUCAACAAUAAUUUCAUGGUUUAUCUGUAAUUCCUGGUUAUAACUCAAUGUUUUCUAUUAAAUGGAAUAGAUGGGUUAAAGAGAUAUAAUUUUCAGAUUACAUGCAUACAAAACUUGGAUGUGUUCCAUGCCCUGGGCAUCGAAUAUCAGUCACUACAGAUUCUAUGCACAAAGUGAGCUUUUACUGACAAUAGAUGCUCAACCUCACAGAGAACUACUGGUGGAAAGUAUUUACCGAUGGCAAAAUCUUUGAGCGGUUCACCACUGUUCUGCCGAAAUUUGCGGUGCAUCCAACCAAGUAGCUGUGAGAAAAAACCAAAAUAUCAUUUAGUCGUUAGACAGAAACACUCUACAAGAAUUAAUGCAGAAUUAACUUUGCCUUCAUCUUUCUGGUUGUGCUUCAGAAAACUGAGUUUUGUUGCCUUCAGUUUAGAGGGGUGAUGAGAAAAAGUGUUUUCCAUAGUUUAGCUCGCUGCUUAUUUAUCAAUAGAAUGUCAAACUCUUACUGCACACCUCCAAUAGUCUGAGAUGAUGUGCGUAAAGGAAACAUAGGGAUAGUUACAAAAGAACUGGCUGGCUUGUGCUAUCCAUUCAAGUGGCUAAAUGGAUGGUGGGUCCUGGAGCACCCUUCCGGAAGCUGUUCAUUUUAUCUGAGGAAUGUGAGUAGUUUUGAUUUUUUGGUACUUUGAGUGGUGGUAUGGACUCACUCCAAACCUGAGAUAGUAUUUUCCAUUCUUCAAAUAAUUUUAUUGUUACUGUUUGAAGAUGUUUAAUUCUCUUUUAAUUUUAUUUAAUCAGUUUUAAGUACCUUAAUUUAUUCAUGUUUUGUAUAUAGUUGUGCUUUCUACACAAACAUGUUUUGCACAUGCCUCCAUGGGAAAAUGAUAGCUUCCAUUCUUAUAAUUGUAACAAUUUCACUAUAAUUUGGUGGGCAGAGCCCUAAAUGACUGGUGGGGUCUCUGGAGAAUAUUGUGUUGGACCAAAAUAGGUGCAAAGAUUGACAACGAAGUGGAUCAUUUCUCAUCAGGGGCACAAACUGUAUUAUCUGACCUGGAAAGGUAGAAGAUUAAUUGGAAAUUUGAAAGGACUCUUCAAUAUCUUAUUUCCAUGUAUGAUCCUAUUAAAUCUACAUGUUGGAUCAUGCAUUUGGUUGGGAUCUUUGGAGGAAAGGAAUUUUAAUAGUAGAUGACCUUUUGGUCUCCCUGACACCGUUCUUUUAUCAUGUUUGUAAGCAGAACAUUCUCAGAUGAGAUCAGAAAUAACACAAAGGUUAGAUUGCGCUUCUGAUCUUUAUCCCUAACAAUGGCCAUGAUUCUAGCAUUGCUGUUGGUAACCUCAAUUUCCAUGAUUCUAGCAUUGCUGUUGGUAACCUCAAUUUGUGUUACAAUUUUAUGAGAGAAUUUUAACUUGUGAUGUCUGAUAUAUGUGCUUGUUUCCCUGCAAAAGAAAAAGGUAAUAACUCGUCUUUUGGGCUUCAUAAUAUGAUCACUUGCGUCAUUUCAGAAUAUUUUUUGGGAACAAAAUAUAAAGGAAAGAAGUAUGCCCGGGUCCCAUGUGUUUCUAAAUUCAACCUUUUACAACUCCUUGUUUCUGAAACAUGCUACUAUAGGACAGAAAACUUACCCUUCUGGAUAUUGGCUAGCUCUUGUUUGUUAUUCAUAUUUAUUGUUUACUUUCAGUAGUAUCCUUUGCUUAAAGACAUGGUUUCUGGGCGAGACAGGGUAAGAAGGAAGAGACGGAAGAAGGUGAUGCACUCUGACAUUGGUUGUGAAGUACAACAGAAGCAAACAUGAAUUCUUCUAUUUUUUUCUCCUUUGACUGUUACAAUAAUUUGUGAAUGUCCUGAGUCUCUGUGAGUUGUCAGAAUUUGUAAAAAGGUCUUCCACUGAGCUUUUGUUUUUUAACCUUCCUAGGAAAGAAAUUGAUUUGAUGUCAGUUCUGUCACCAUAUUUCUGAAACCUUCUUAAGUCAUUUCCUUGAGCAUGAAAAAGAUCUCCUUUGCCUCAACCAUGUCGUGGCUAUGCUCCCAAUAUUAACUGUUUGUUUCUAUUUUGUCAGUGGGAGUUCAAAAGAGAUGAAUAAUAUUACUUUGCUUUAUGUGCUUUAUAAUUUCAGGUGAAAGAUUUAGGAAGAAAGGCUUCUGAUUUUAUUAAGGUGGGACUACGAUGUACAGCACCAUGCGGGAUGAAAAAACUUUUUCUUACCUCCACGAGCAAGUCAUGAUUUUAUGUCAAAUCUGCCUAAAUAUCCAGCUGAUAAGUUGGCCUCCUCUAUUUGUUUUUUGUUUUUAACCUGGUAGAUUGAUAUUUAAAUCUUAAGUUGAUUAGAUUUGCAUUAGAUCUGGUGACAUAGUGGGAAAGAUGCAAGGGGGGGCCAUGCUCCAUGAACUUGCAAACUUUUUGGUAUGAGGAUAGGUUUUUACCUGUGAUACAAAAGCUUGUCAAAUCCAACUAAUAUGAUUGGUAUAUUCACCGAUCGAUGUUCAGACAUGUUCAUACUAACCCUUUUCACUAAAUUCACUGUAUGGAGAGAUUCUAUAAUCAGCGGUUCAACGAAUCAAACCUGAUGAAAACCUUCUGCCAUCUGGUAUGUUUCUAUCAAACGUUUCAAGUUUUCUAUUCCUGCUGUUAAGAAAAAACUUACCUGGAAAGCCUGCUUCUGGAUUUGGUAGUUGUUAAAAUAGUCAAAAAGGAGUCAAAUUCUUCUGCCCUUUUGUCAAAGUAAAUCAUCCUCGGUAAAAUUACAUUUUCAAAAAGGAGUGGAACUAUAGAUAAAUUAUCAUAUAAACUUUCUGUUAUUCUUUAUCAUCGUUAGAGACAUGGUUUUACAAGAAUAAAUUAAAACUAAAGAAAUGAAGGCCAAAAAUGUAAUUUACUCACAAUCAAAAGAUUGGUAGAUCAUGAUGCAGAUGGAAAAAGUGAGCAUUUUUUAUCAGAUUCUAGGACCUGCUUAAAUUUUGUGCUGACUUUUGUUUUUAGGAACCAAACAUGAAACUAAAAUCCGAAAGUCUUGUCAGUGACAUGAGGGAAACAAUUCUGUUGUAGACAGACUGUGCCACAUAUUUAUCCUUCUCUUGACCUUUUCCUUUUGACCAACAUCCUAAAAGACCUAUAUAUGCACUGAACAUGUGUUAUGAAUCUCUUUGUCUAAAUGCAACAGCCCUCAUUCAUUAUGAUUUGUACAUGUGAAAGCAAAGCAAGUAGCCCUCCUUCAUUGUGAUCUGAUUAUGCAAUGAGCAUUAAUAUGUUUGUCUAAAUGCUUUUUAACUUUCAUUUCUGGAUUGAACCCUACUUUUAAAGCAGAGAGAUCAGUUUUUCUCUUGCCUUUGAACUCUUCUUUCCUGUUGAUGUGAGGCUGGUUUUACAGGCUGAUUGAUUAUCAUUGAAGAACAUUGCUGCCUGUGUUGUUUGGACAGUGGAUAAAGAUUGAGUCCUUAGACUCACUUUGAACCUUUCUGUACCAUGAUUUCAGUCUAAUUUGAGGCCCCUGGAUAUGGAGAUCUUCUGGAAGGGUGGAAGAAGCUUGAAGAAGAAGAAAUAUCGAUUGAUGUGAACAGGGUCAUUGAUUGCAUUUCUUCAAGGGUUACUUCAGAAGUGAUAUCAAAAGGAGGUGGAAAGAGCAA